rnacentral:rRNA from 1 species
UAUCGGAUUGAUACUAAGCCAUGCGAGUCAUUGUAGCAAUACAAGGCAUACGGCUCAGUAACGCGUAGUCAACCUAACCUAUGGACGGGAAUAACCUCGGGAAACUGAGAAUAAUGCCCGAUAGAACAUUAUGCCUGGAAUGGUUUAUGUUCCAAAUGAUUUAUCGCCGUAGGAUGGGACUGCGGCCUAUCAGUUUGUUGGUGAGGUAAUGGCCCACCAAGACUAUUACAGGUACGGGCUCUGAGAGGAGUAGCCCGGAGAUGGGUACUGAGACACGGACCCAGGCCCUAUGGGGCGCAGCAGGCGAGAAAACUUUGCAAUGUGCGAAAGCACGACAAGGUUAAUCCGAGUGGUUUCUGCUAAAGGAACCUUUUGUCAGUCCUAGAAACACUGAUGAAUAAGGGGUGGGCAAGUUCUGGUGUCAGCCGCCGCGGUAAAACCAGCACCUCAAGUGGUCAGGAUGAUUAUUGGGCCUAAAGCAUCCGUAGCCGGCUUUGUAAGUUUUCGGUUAAAUCUGUACGCUCAACGUACAGGCUGCCGGGAAUACUGCAAAGCUAGGGAGUGGGAGAGGUAGACGGUACUCGGUAGGAAGGGGUAAAAUCCUUUGAUCUAUUGAUGACCACCUGUGGCGAAGGCGGUCUACCAGAACACGUCCGACGGUGAGGGAUGAAAGCUGGGGGAGCAAACCGGAUUAGAUACCCGGGUAGUCCCAGCUGUAAACCAUGCAAACUCAGUGAUGCAUUGGCUUGUGGCCAAUGCAGUGCUGCAGGGAAGCCGUUAAGUUUGCCGCCUGGGAAGUACGUACGCAAGUAUGAAACUUAAAGGAAUUGGCGGGGGAGCACCACAAGGGGUGAAGCCUGCGGUUCAAUUGGAGUC